rnacentral:rRNA from 1 species
UGCGCAGGUGGUUUCGUAAGUCAGAUGUGAAAUCCCCGGGCUUAACCUGGGAAUGGCAUUUGAGACUGCGAAGCUAGAGUACGGCAGAGGGAGGUGGAAUUCCACGUGUAGCAGUGAAAUGCGUAGAUAUGUGGAGGAACACCGAUGGCGAAGGCAGCCUCCUGGGCCAGUACUGACGCUCAUGCACGAAAGCGUGGGAGCAAACAGGAUUAGAUACCCUGGUAGUCCACGCCCUAAACGAUGUCAACUAGUUGUUGGGAAAGGUGACUUUCUUGGUAACGCAGCUAACGCGUGAAGUUGACCGCCUGGGGAGUACGGUCGCAAGAUUAAA